GAACCGUGCGAACGUUGUUCGGAUUCACUGGGCUUAAAGGGCGCGUAGGCGGGCGGCCAAGUCAGGGGUGAAAGCCCCCGGCCCAACCGGGGAAGGGCCCCUGAGACUGGUCGCCUGGAGGGGGGUAGGGGCAAGCGGAACUUCCGGUGGAGCGGUGAAAUGCGUAGAUAUCGGAAGGAACGCCGGUGGCGAAAGCGGCUUGCUGGGCCCCCCCUGACGCUGAGGCGCGAAAGCCAGGGGAGCGAACGGGAUUAGAUACCCCGGUAGUCCUGGCCCUAAACGAUGGGUACUAGGUAGCGGGCUUGCAUGGGCCCCCUGCCGCAGCCAAAGUGCUAAGUACCCCGCCUGGGGAGUAUGGUCGCAAGGCUGAA
rnacentral:rRNA from 1 species